GACGAACGCUGGCGGCGUGCCUAAUACAUGCAAGUUGAGCGCUGAAGGUUGGUACUUGUACCAACUGGAUGAGCAGCGAACGGGUGAGUAACGCGUGGGGAAUCUGCCUUUGAGCGGGGGACAACAUUUGGAAACGAAUGCUAAUACCGCAUAAAAACUUUAAACACAAGUUUUAAGUUUGAAAGAUGCAAUUGCAUCACUCAAAGAUGAUCCCGCGUUGUAUUAGCUAGUUGGUGAGGUAAAGGCUCACCAAGGCGAUGAUACAUAGCCGACCUGAGAGGGUGAUCGGCCACAUUGGGACUGAGACACGGCCCAAACUCCUACGGGAGGCAGCAGUAGGGAAUCUUCGGCAAUGGACCAAAGUCUGACCGAGCAACGCCGCGUGAGUGAAGAAGGUUUUCGGAUCGUAAAACUCUGUUGGUAGAGAAGAACGUUGGUGAGAGUGGAAAGCUCAUCAAGUGACGGUAACUACCCAGAAAGGGACGGCUAACUACGUG
rnacentral:rRNA from 1 species